UAGCGGCAGGGGAACUGUGCUAAUGUAGCAGAAUAACUUGCUUUGUAAUUAAAAGAUAGAAUGAGAGGUAAAGCGAUCAAAAUCUGCAUCUCGUAUAUACAUAAACUAAUAUACGUAAAAGAGCAUGAGAUAAACAAGACGACAAGACCCUACUAAAAUUAAUAUUCAAUUGGGGCAAUAUAUGAAAAAAACUUUAAUUACAAAAUUAAGCAAAAAAAUUUUAGCAAGACAAGUUACUAUAGGGAUAACAGCGCAAUUUAUUUUAAAAGAUCACAUUAAAAAGGAAGAUUACCACCUCGAUGUUGAAUUAAUUUAACUAUUAAGAGCAAAAUCCUAGUAAGUAAGUCUGUUCGACUUUUAGAAAAUU
rnacentral:rRNA from 1 species